rnacentral:rRNA from 1 species
AGUGAACGCUGGCGGUAGGCCUAACACAUGCAAGUCGAACGGCAGCACAGUAAGAGCUUGCUCUUACGGGUGGCGAGUGGCGGACGGGUGAGGAAUACAUCGGAAUCUACUUUUUCGUGGGGGAUAACGUAGGGAAACUUACGCUAAUACCGCAUACGACCUACGGGUGAAAGCAGGGGAUCUUCGGACCUUGCGCGAUUGAAUGAGCCGAUGUCGGAUUAGCUAGUUGUCGGGGUAAAGGCCCACCAAGGCGACGAUCCGUAGCUGGUCUGAGAGGAUGAUGAGACACACAGGAACUGAGACACGGUCAAGACUCCUACGGGAGGCAGCAGUGGGGAAUAUUGGACAAUGGGCGCAAGCCUGAUCCAGCCAUACCGCGUGGGUGAAGAAGGCCUUCGGGUUGUAAAGACCUUUUGUUGGGAAAGAAAAGCAGCAGGUUAAUACCCCGCUGUUCUGACGGUACCCAAAGAAUAAGCACCGGCUAACUUCGUG